rnacentral:rRNA from 1 species
UAAACUUUAAUCCGUUGCAAAAAGGGGUGGAAGUCCGGUGUCAGCCGCCGCGGUAAAACCAGCACCUCAAGUGGUCGUCGUUUAUUGGGCCUAAAAGCUCCGUAGCCUGUUUGGUACAUUCUUGGGUAAAUCAAGUCGCUCAACGGCUUGAGUUCUGCGAAGACGGCCAGACUAGGGACCGGGAGAGGUAUGGCGGUACUCUCUGGGUAGGGGUAAAAUCCAGUCAUCCUGAGGGGACCACCUGUUGCGAAGGCGCUAUACUAGAACGGAUCCGACGGUCAGGGACGAAGCCUAGGGGCACGAACCGGAUUAGAUACCCGGGUAGUCCUAGGUGUAAACGCUGUGGACUUGGUGUUGCGGAUUCUACGAGUAUGCCCAGUGCCGGAGUGAAGAUGUUAAGUCCACUGCCUGGGGAGUACGGUCGCAAGGCUGAAACUUAAAGGAAUUGGCGGGGGAGCACAGCAACGAGAGGAGCGUGCGGUUCAAUUGGAGUCAACGCCGGGAAUC